AGGUUAACCGAAUAGGGAAGCCGUAGAGAAAUCGAGUCCGAACAGGGCGAUAGUCGCUGGGUGUAGACCCGAAACCAAGUGAUCUACUCAUGGCCAGGAUGAAGGUGCGGUAACACGCACUGGAGGUCCGAACCCACUAAUGUUGAAAAAUUAGGGGAUGAGCUGUGGGUAGGGGUGAAAGGCUAAACAAACUUGGAAAUAGCUGGUUCUCUCCGAAAACUAUUUAGGUAGUGCCUCAAGUAUCACCAUCGGGGGUAGAGCACUGUUAUGGCUAGGGGGUCAUCGCGACUUACCAAACCAUUGCAAACUCCGAAUACCGAUGAGUGCGAGCUUGGGAGACAGACGUCGGGUGCUAACGUCCGGCGUCAAGAGGGAAACAACCCAGACCGCCAGCUAAGGUCCCAAAGAUUGGCUAAGUGGAAAACGAAGUGGGAAGGCUAAAACAGUCAGGAUGUUGGCUUAGAAGCAGCCAUCAUUUAAAGAAAGCGUAAUAGCUCACUGAUCGAGUCGUCCUGCGCGGAAGAUGUAACGGGGCUAAGCCAGUCACCGAAGCUGCGGAUAUGCGUAAGCAUAUGGUAGGAGAGCGUUCUGUAAGCCUGCGAAGGUGUCUUGUAAAGGAUGCUGGAGGUAUCAGAAGUGCGAAUGCUGACAUGAGUAGCGAUAAUGGGGGUGAAAAGCCCCCACGCCGUAAGCCCAAGGUUUCCUGUUCAACGUUCAUCGGAGCAGGGUGAGUCGGCCCCUAAGGCGAGGCAGAGAUGCGUAGCUGAUGGGAAGCAGGUUAAUAUUCCUGCACCGUCGUAUGAUGCGAUGGGGGGACGGAUCGCGGAAGGUUGUCUGACUGUUGGAAUAGUCAGUUUCUGGUUCAUAGGAGGUACUUAGGCAAAUCCGGGUACGUAAUCCAAGGGGCUGGGACGAGUGAACUUGUUCACGUAGCAAUCGGAAGUGGUUCCAAGAAAAGCCUCUAAGCUUCAGUCAUACGAGACCGUACCGCAAACCGACACAGGUGGGCGAGAUGAGUAUU
rnacentral:rRNA from 1 species